GCCCCGAUAGCUCAGUGGUAGAGCACUUCCAUGGUAAGGAAGGGGUCGCGAGUUCAAACCUCGCUCGGGGCU
rnacentral:tRNA from 1 species